GACUAGAAGAUUUGACCCUCCAACAUUCUUUCAAGAGGAAAAGCUGCCCAGAGCUCCUGUACCUGUUUAUUAUCCUUUUCUGCCUGCAGUGGCCUGGAUAUACCGCGUUUGAAUAUGGUGUAUAGUUGAGACUGGAUUGCUCUUGUGUCCACCGGUAGGAGCCAAUGAAUGGGACAAGUUUCUGGCUUUCACACUGCAGAAUGAGUGCCAUCACAAAUGAAGUUGUAGUCUGGGAAAGGACGAUUACUUUGAACAGUGGGAAUGCUGAGCUUGUUGGAGCCUGCCACAUUUGCAAAACAUUUCAAGAAUCACUACGUUUGGAAGGCAGUACUUUGAAGAAAGAAAUUAAUGUUGUGCAAGCAGAGGAGUCUGAAAUUGUGAUGUUCUCUAGGAAAAAAUGCUUUCAGUGGUCGUAUAUUCAAGAUUAACAGUUUUGAAGAUGGCGAUGUCCACAAUUUCAGAGGUAACACUCUGUCCCACUCACUGUUCCACCCACGUGUCACAGAAAAAGGACCUAAUCCUGGAGUCCUAAUGCAGUCAAAACCCACGCUGACAUCUGUUAUGUGGAAAGCUUGGACCCGGUUAACAGGAAGGACCUGGCCUUCCAAGUCUUCAGCCACAGCCACACCUGUUGCCUUGGAACAGCAUUAGAGACUCGUGAAGGGGAGGCAGACUGGCAGAGCUGGAGACUAAUACUGAAGUAAGAGACAUCUUCUGGCGAAUGGAUUCCGAAUGGCAAAAAUAGAUGGAAAAACAAGUGGAAGCUACUGAUAUCUUGUGAGUAUCUGCUGAUGUUCCAUAGUUUCUGUGGAGUGAGGAUUCAGAUUUCUUAUCUGUCAGUUCCUGCAGAAGAAAUAACCUCUGAAGAAAUAACAAGAUCACUGACUGGGAGGCCACUGCUGCAUCAGGAUUCUUCAAGCAGCAUGCUGUACUUGAUUUAAUCCUUUAGCCUGAAGAGAAUUUUUAACACUCUGUGCAUAUCACGUUGGGUGUUCCCUCCUCUGUUGAGCUCACUGGAGUGGAAAGCAGAGUUCUUUCUUGGAGUCAGUAGGAAAUAUCUGCACACGGGGACUUUAGCUACUUCUCACUCUGUUGGGGAUGAAUAUUCAGAGUGUUUAUCACCCUUUAAAAAGAAAACUCGGGUAGAAACCAUCUUUCUUGUGUCUCUUUGAGGUGCUUCAGGAUGGGAAACCAAUAGUUCCUCUUCACUGGGGGGAUUAGAAACUGGAUGAUAAGUUGUCAUGUCUAAUUUUGUAUUUUUGUCUCUCUAAUUGGAUAAUUUCUUCCUGUGUGGACUGCUAGGGGAAGACUCUGAGGAGGAUGGGAAAUCUGAGAGACCUCUUUAAUGUGUUCUGUGAAAUUCAUUACAAAUAACAUCUUCAUUGGAGAGCUUAAUGUGCUUCCACAUUUGUUUCUCUUUGUAUCAGGAAAGAUUUCUGAGUUUUUUAACUUUAGAGACAACCAUCCCUGCUUUGGUGCUCUUCUGUGGACUAAAUCUCUAUUUAUGAAGGACUGUGUCUGAUAGGGCCUGACUCUGGGUCAUAGGGGAGACCAAAGAGAAUAGUCUACUCACUCCUCUGCAUUAUAAGUACAUCAAAGACAUUUUAAAAUCAUGGACCAAAUUUUAUCAUGAGUAAUACUCUAAGCAACCUCAUUGACUUCAAACCUAAGGUAUAAUAAAGUUAUAAUUUUUAUUAUUGUAGUAUAUACCUGAGCAGAGCUGUGGAGUUAUCUUCAACAUGUUUACUGGAAUUGUUAAGGGCAGAUGAUGGUCAUUAGUGUGAGGGAGAGGGUUAAUAUAACAUAAUAUUCAUGCAUGUUUGUAUUACAAAGAAAUUAGAGUGAGCUGAAGCUGGUAUCGGAAAGGCAAUGUGUUUUACUUAUUAGUGAACAGACUUCCCACAAAUGAAACACCAUCUUGGGUCGCAAUCCUGCAAGGAGCUCUACAUGAGCAGACCCCAGAACCUGCAUAAAGUCCCAGGCUGAAAUCUUGGCACAGCUGGAUUCAA